CGCCUCCCAGCCUGACUAUGCCUCCCUCGCGGCGAGGAUUGCUGUGUCCAACCUGCCGCCAAGUGGAAAUAGUCUGUGUGGCGCUCGUAAAUAGAGAGCAUUCUGGUAGAAAGCUGAGGGACGAGGUUCGUAACUGUGGGUCAUGUGCAGAGCUGGACGAAGAAGUUGCGAGGCUUGGAACUCUCCUUGUGAAGGGCUCAGGG